GCGCCAGUGGUGUACGGAACACACAUCGGCCUAAUAAAGAACCAAAUCUGUUCAACCUUACGGCGGUGAGACGGGGUUCGAUUCCCCGCUGGUGGA